UUAGAGUUUGAUCCUGGCUCAGGAUGAACGCUAGCGGCAGGCUUAACACAUGCAAGUCGAGGGGCAGCGAGAUCAGUGCUUGCACUGAUUGUCGGCGACCGGCGCACGGGUGCGUAACGCGUAUGCAACCUACCCAUUACAGGGGGAUAACACUGAGAAAUCGGUACUAAUACCCCAUAACAUCCAGGGAGGCAUCUUCUUGGGUUGAAAACUCCGGUGGUAAUGGAUGGGCAUGCGUUGUAUUAGUUAGUUGGUGGGGUAACGGCUCACCAAGACAACGAUACAUAGGGGGACUGAGAGGUUAACCCCCCACAUUGGUACUGAGACACGGACCAAACUCCUACGGGAGGCAGCAGUGAGGAAUAUUGGUCAAUGGACGCAAGUCUGAACCAGCCAUGCCGCGUGCAGGAAGACGGCUCUAUGAGUUGUAAACUGCUUUUGUACGAGGGUAAACGCAGAUACGCGUAUCUGUCUGAAAGUAUCGUACGAAUAAGGAUCGGCUAACUCCGUGCCAGCAGCCGCGGUAAUACGGAGGAUUCAAGCGUUAUCCGGAUUUAUUGGGUUUAAAGGGUGCGUAGGCGGUCGGAUAAGUUAGAGGUGAAAUCCCGGGGCUCAACUUCGGAAUUGCCUCUGAUACUGUUCGGCUAGAGAGUAGUUGCGGUAGGCGGAAUGUAUGGUGUAGCGGUGAAAUGCUUAGAGAUCAUACAGAACACCGAUUGCGAAGGCAGCUUACCAAGCUACUUCUGACGUUGAGGCACGAAAGCGUGGGGAGCAAACAGGAUUAGAUACCCUGGUAGUCCACGCAGUAAACGAUGAUAACUCGUUGUCGGCGAUACAGUGUCGGUGACUAAGCGAAAGCGAUAAGUUAUCCACCUGGGGAGUACGUUCGCAAGAAUGAAACUCAAAGGAAUUGACGGGGGCCCGCACAAGCGGAGGAACAUGUGGUUUAAUUCGAUGAUACGCGAGGAACCUUACCCGGGCUUGAAAGUUAGUGACGGAUCUUGAAAGAGGUCUUCCCUUCGGGGCAUGAAACUAGGUGCUGCAUGGUUGUCGUCAGCUCGUGCCGUGAGGUGUCGGGUUAAGUCCCAUAACGAGCGCAACCCCUACCGUUAGUUGCCAGCAGGUCAAGCUGGGCACUCUGACGGGACUGCCGGUGUAAGCCGAGAGGAAGGUGGGGAUGACGUCAAAUCAGCACGGCCCUUACGUCCGGGGCUACACACGUGUUACAAUGGCAGGUACAGAGGGCAGCUACCCAGCGAUGGGAUGCGAAUCUCGAAAGCCUGUCUCAGUUCGGAUUGGAGGCUGAAACCCGCCUCCAUGAAGUUGGAUUCGCUAGUAAUCGCGCAUCAGCCAUGGCGCGGUGAAUACGUUCCCGGGCCUUGUACUAGACCGCCCGUCAAG
rnacentral:rRNA from 1 species